CACAUGCAAGUCGAGGGGAAACGACAUCGAAAGCUUGCUUUUGAUGGGCGUCGACCGGCGCACGGGUGAGUAACGCGUAUCCAACCUGCCCACCACUUGGGGAUAACCUUGCGAAAGUAAGACUAAUACCCAAUGACGUCUCUAGAAGACAUCUGAAAGGGAUUAAAGAUUUAUCGGUGAUGGAUGGGGAUGCGUCUGAUUAGCUUGUUGGCGGGGUAACGGCCCACCAAGGCUACGAUCAGUAGGGGUUCUGAGAGGAAGGUCCCCCACAUUGGAACUGAGACACGGUCCAAACUCCUACGGGAGGCAGCAGUGAGGAAUAUUGGUCAAUGGACGAGAGUCUGAACCAGCCAAGUAGCGUGCAGGAUGACGGCCCUAUGGGUUGUAAACUGCUUUUAUAAGGGAAUAAAGUGAGCCUCGUGAGGCUUUUUGCAUGUACCUUAUGAAUAAGGACCGGCUAAUUCCGUGCCAGCAGCCGCGGUAGUACGGAAGGUCCGGGCGUUAUCCGGAUUUAUUGGGUUUAAAGGGAGCGUAGGCCGGAGAUUAAGCGUGUUGUGAAAUGUAGAUGCUCAACAUCUGCACUGCAGCGCGAACUGGUUUCCUUGAGUACGCACAAAGUGGGCGGAAUUCGUGGUGUAGCGGUGAAAUGCUUAGAUAUCACGAAGAACUCCGAUUGCGAAGGCAGCUCACUGGAGCGCAACUGACGCUGAAGCUCGAAAGUGCGGGUAUCGAACAGGAUUAGAUACCCUGGUAGUCCGCACGGUAAACGAUGGAUGCCCGCUGUUGGUCUGAAUAGGUCAGCGGCCAAGCGAAAGCAUUAAGCAUCCCACCUGGGGAGUACGCCGGCAACGGUGAAACUCAAAGGAAUUGACGGGGGCCCGCACAAGCGGAGGAACAUGUGGUUUAAUUCGAUGAUACGCGAGGAACCUUACC
rnacentral:rRNA from 1 species